rnacentral:rRNA from 1 species
AUUGAACGCUGGCGGCAUGCUUUACACAUGCAAGUCGAACGGCAGCACAGGGAGCUUGCUCCUGGGUGGCGAGUGGCGCACGGGUGAGUAAUACAUCGGAACGUGUCCUAUCGUGGGGGAUAACUGAUCGAAAGAUCAGCUAAUACCGCAUAAGACCUGAGGGUGAAAGUGGGGGAUCGCAAGACCUCACGCGAUUGGAGCGGCCGAUGCCCGAUUAGCUAGUUGGUGAGGUAAAGGCUCACCAAGGCGACGAUCGGUAGCUGGUCUGAGAGGACGACCAGCCACACUGGGACUGAGACACGGCCCAGACUCCUACGGGAGGCAGCAGUGGGGAAUUUUGGACAAUGGGGGCAACCCUGAUCCAGCCAUGCCGCGUGCAGGAUGAAGGUCUUCGGAUUGUAAACUGCUUUUGUCAGGGAAGAAAAGGUCUGUGUUAAUACCAUAGACUGCUGACGGUACCUGAAGAAUAAGCACCGGCUAACUACGUGCCAGCCGCCGCCGUAA